rnacentral:rRNA from 1 species
AAUCAACGCUGGCGGCGUGCCUAACACAUGCAAGUCGAGCGCGAAAGGGGAGCAAUCCCCAAGUAGAGCGGCGAACGGGUGAGUAACGCGUGGGUAAUCUGCCUCCGAGUGGGGAACAACACCGGGAAACUGGGUGCUAAUACCGCAUGACAUCGUUGGACCUUCGGAUCUGACGAUACAAAGCCGGGGACCGCAAGGCCUGGCG